UACGUAGGGGGCUAGCGUUGUCCGGAUUUAUUGGGCGUAAAGAGCGUGUAGGCGGCCAGGUAGGUCUGCUGUGAAAACUCGAGGCUCAACCUCGAGAUGUCGGCGGAAACCAUCUGGCUAGAGUCCGGAAGAGGAGAGUGGAAUUCCUGGUGUAGCGGUGAAAUGCGCAGAUAUCAGGAAGAACACCAGUGGCGAAGGCGGCGACCUGGGAAGAUACUGACGCUGAGAUGCGAAAGCGUGGGGAGCAAACAGG
rnacentral:rRNA from 1 species